CCUACGUGCGUCAGCAGUGAGGAAUAUUGGUCAAUGGGCGCGAGCCUGAACCAGCCAAGUAGCGUGAAGGAUGACUGCCCUACGGGUUGUAAACUUCUUUUAUAAAGGAAUAAAGUGAGGCACGUGUGCCUUUUUGUAUGUACUUUAUGAAUAAGGAUCGGCUAACUCCGUGCCAGCAGCCGCGGUAAUACGGAGGAUCCGAGCGUUAUCCGGAUUUAUUGGGUUUAAAGGGAGCGUAGAUGGGUUGUUAAGUCAGUUGUGAAAGUUUGCGGCUCAACCGUAAAAUUGCAAUUGAUACUGGCAGUCUUGAGUACAGUUGAGGUAGGCGGAAUUCGUGGUGUAGCGGUGAAAUGCUUAGAUAUCACGAAGAACUCCGAUUGCGAAGGCAGCUUACUAAACUGCCACUGACAUUGAUGCUCGAAAGUGUGGGUAUCAAACAGGAUUAGAUACCCCAGUAGUC
rnacentral:rRNA from 1 species